AAAUGACUCUCGGCAACGGAUAUCUCGGCUCUCGUAUCGAUGAAGAACGUAGCGAAAUGCGAUACUUGGUGUGAAUUGCAGAAUCCCGUGAACCAUCGAGUCUUUGAACGCAAGUUGCGCCUGAAGCCUUAUGGCUAAGGGCACGUCUGCCUGGGCGUCACACAU
rnacentral:rRNA from 5 species